AACGAACGCUGGCGGCGCGCCUAAUACAUGCAAGUCGAACGAGAAGGUGUAGCAAUACACUUGUACAGUGGCGAACGGGUGAGGAAUGCAUGGGGCAACCUACCCUCGAGUGGGGAAGUAACCAGCCGAAAGGUUGGCUAAUACCGCGUACGCUUCCGGGUCUCCGGAUUCGGAAGGAAAGUCACACCGUGGGUGUGACGCUCAAGGAUGGGCUCAUGUCCUAUCAGCUUGUUGGGAGGUACGGCUCA
rnacentral:rRNA from 1 species